UACGAAGGGGACUAGCGUUGUUCGGAAUUACUGGGCGUAAAGCGCACGUAGGCGGAUUUCUAAGUCAGACGUGAAAUCCCCCCGGCUUAACCUGGGAACUGCGUCUGAUACUGGGAGGCUAGAGUAUGGGAGAGGGAUGUGGAAUUCCAGGUGUAGCGGUGAAAUGCGUAGAUAUCUGGAGGAACACCGGUGGCGAAGGCGGCAUCCUGGACCAUAACUGACGCUGAUCCGCGAAAGCUAGGGGAGCAAAACGGG
rnacentral:rRNA from 1 species